rnacentral:rRNA from 1 species
AUACGUAGGGUGCAAGCGUUAAUCGGAAUUACUGGGCGUAAAGCGUGCGCAGGCGGUUUUGUAAGACAGUGGUGAAAUCCCCGGGCUCAACCUGGGAACUGCCAUUGUGACUGCAAGGCUGGAGUGCGGCAGAGGGGGGUGGAAUUCCGCGUGUAGCAGUGAAAUGCGUAGAUAUGCGGAGGAACACCGAUGGCGAAGGCAAUCCCCUGGGCCUGCACUGACGCUCAUGCACGAAAGCGUGGGGAGCAAACAGGAUUAGAUACCCUGGUAGUCCACGCCCUAAACGAUGUCAACUGGUUGUUGGGGAUUUAUUUUCUCAGUAACGAAGCUAACGCGUGAAGUUGACCGCCUGGGGAGUACGGCCGCAAGGUUAAAACUCAAAUGAAUUGACGGG